rnacentral:sRNA from 1 species
GCCAGGUGCAGUGGCGCACACCUGUGAUCCCAGCAGCUAGGGAGGCUGAGGCAGGAGGAUUGCGAGUUCAAAGCCAGCCUCAGCAACGGGGAGGCACUAACAACUCAGUGAGACCCUGUCCCUA